CUCAUUGGUCAUUCAUCUUUCCCGAUCUAGUGCCAUCGUUCUUCAAGGUGCCGGAGGGUUUGAAGCAUACCUACUACCCCUCCCCUGAGCUUAGUUCAGAGUUGCCUCAGCGCGCUCGAGUAAUAACUGGGAAAAUCAAGGCUGGACAGGUCUUCAAGCCAACUUCAGGAAGAAAAACCAAGUGAAAGAAGAAGUGCUAAAGUGCACAGCC
rnacentral:lncRNA from 1 species